rnacentral:rRNA from 1 species
GCCAGCAGCCAUGUCACCCUGCAGCUCCCAGCUGGCAGCCCCACUGCAGCUCAGCAGGAGUGAGCCUGGUCAGUACCUGGAUGGGAGACCUCCUGGGAAAGCUAAGGUUGCUGCUGGAA